AACAAAACUAUGAUAAACGAUUACCUUUGAACGUCUUACAAUCUGAGCAGAUAUGGGUUGGUACCAGUGUACUGCUGUACCCCUAAUUCUUUUGAUUUUCAUGAUUUCUUUCACAGUUUUUGGAGGUUUGUGGAGAGGGGCUGCCUGGGUAUGAGUGGCACGCUCUCUUCUUCCUUUGUUUUGGCACUGAGGCUCUUUAUAGCCAAGCCUGAGAGAUUCUUGACAACCAUCCCCCAUCUGAGUCAGGCUCGAUUGGAUCUGGAGGCGCUGGCCGACCUGAAGCUCCCGUCUCCCGGGUCCCACUGCGACUGCAUCCUUUCCCCACUCCAUCAGCAUGACCGCCAUGACUAUAUGCCGUAAGAAAAACAAGACUAGCUGAGAGGCAGCGUAACGAAGCAGCACGAUGAAAUAAUGAGGGGUGGUGAGGAAGAAGAGAAAGCUUUGGUGUAAAGACACAGGUACGAAGCGCUGCCUGAUACUUUGCAUGGAGAGCCUGUACACUUGAAAUUAAACCAGCUCUUUUCCUUUAGAGCCCAGGAGGGGGGAAACCAGAACUCAAUCAGUGUCGCGUCACAUGGUUCAAAGCGGCCAAUUCGAUGCUGCCAGGAGGCUGAGAAAUGCAAGGUGACAGUUCAUUUUACCAGUGACAGUGUGUCGGUCUCGCUUGCUGGUUCCACAGUCAAUUCCCAGCGAGCAGUGAAGGUUGAGUGUUGCUGUAGACAGACAGCAGCUUACCCCCCCCCCCCCCCCCCCCCACCUUCCUCCUCCUCUUCCUCCUCACCGCCGCUCUCUCAUCGACCCUGCUCUGCUUUGUAUUCCAAUUAACUGGACAGAGGGAGAGGCGGCAGCGUUGCCGGAUCACAAGCAAAGGCAGACACAUUCUUCUGGCGUCCUUCCAGUCUCUCAAUCCCACCACUAUCAAUAGUGCUAUGCUUCCCUUUUCCCCCCUUCACUUUCCCUCUCCUCUCCGCUUAUGACAAGGGCCAGUUGUUCCAGAGGGGUAAUUCAUGGAUUCUUCUUUAACAACUGCCUCUAGGGACAAAGUCCUGGUAAUGAAAAAUAGGUCCCUCGCUCACACAUUCAUACAUCACAUGUAAUAGAGGUGUGCAAUCACUCAGUCGAGUCAACGCACUGCUAGCUGUAACUGCUGUCGUUAACAGACACCUCAAAUAAUGCUGAAUUAAUAUUUUGAAACGGCUCAUAUAUCCUAACAUAAUACAAUUUGAAUGAUUUUCUAUUCAAUGCUCUCAGGGCUAAUAUUGAUUGGAGCACAAGCUGAGGUAACUCUCCGAGUCAGUCAAUGUGAGGCUGACUGAAGGUUGUAGAUUUAGCGCGGCACAUUUGCUCUCUUCUGUCUUUCGUGUCCUCAAUCUAUCAUCACUUUUUUUUUAACUUCGCCCCCCCCUGCACUGACAUAUGUUUGAGCAAUGGGUGGGUUGGGAAUUCAAUGAUUCGGAGGAAAUCCGAAGAGUAAACUACCUCUUUUUUUAUCUCCUUGAGCAACACAAACAUUUACAAGAGACCGCCAAGAAUCAGGCCAAACACCUUUUUAAAAAAAAUAAAUACAUUUAAAUUUGUGCACCAUCUUGAGAUAUCUUCUAUUUUGAAAGGUGAAGGAGUGACUUUUUUGUGGCCAAUUUGUUUGAAGGUGAGUGUCGCUCUCUUUUUAAACUACUUCCUUUUCCUCUUCUAAACUAAAGACAAACAGAGCUCGACAGACAGGUGUGGGUGCCUCUUUAUUUGCCCCUCUGGACUGCCUAUCUGGAGAAUGCAAUGUUGUGUGUUUGCAGGACAGGAUACACACACACACACACUCAAACACACACCCUCCAUGCCCUGAGGAGCCUCCUGACUCUCUCUCUUCUGGCUCUAUCAGAUCAGAGAGACCUGCUGUCCCUCCCCACACCGCAAUGCAAAUGAAAAGGAAUGCGCUGAUAAAAGGCCAGAUCCCGGAGAUGAGAGAGGGCAGAAGGAGGACAGAGGCAGCAAAUGCUGAAGGGGGUGAGAGCCUCUUGGGGAGAUGAGAGGCAGCAGAGGAGUCAGUGUUGGUAGUAGUGGGAGAUCAUAGUCUUGCUCCCCCUCGGCGGCGUUUGAUACAGGGCUUUUGUCGCUCUUUCAGCGGUGCAUUGUUGGGUGGUGUAAUCCCCGUUGGAUUACAAAGGGCUUCCCUUUUCAUAUGGGGCUGACCCAGCAGGCAGGUGGCUGGGGCUCUGUGGAGCUGUCAAGGGGAGGGAACCUCUUUUCCAGGGGAGGGGACCCCCAGUUCCUCUUACCUUCACAGGGGCUUUUUGCUGGAAGGCCAGUCAGGCACAGGUCAGUGUGGGGACAAUCCUGACAUGGGAUUCAACUCACCCUGACCCCACGGGUUCUUGUAGAGAAGUGACAAGGAAAGACUCCAUCAUGAGACAGCAUUCAACAUGAAAACAUGUGAAAAUGUGAAAGCAUUGUUUGGUGGUCAAAAAAAAAUAAAAACAAGACCAUCGCAGCUGCAAUUAUCGCUAUUAAAAUUAGAGUCAACAUGCUGCAUUAAGAGUUAAAAAAAUGCAAGUUUAAGAUCUGAAAUAAUAAAAAUCACCUCUAUAGUUUAAAAUAUAGCAUCAGCUGUACAUCGCUUGAUUGAUACGUCGUGUUUUCUGUCAAUGUGAGCUGUGUCUGAUUGAGCUUUGCUUAUUUGAUGACUUUCCUCACACGCUUUCAGUAAUAGAGGAUCAAUAACACAAUAGCAACAACCACCAAUAUUUCUAUUUCUAAUAUAGCUACUACCACAGCCUACUCUGCUCAUUUCAGCUGAGCCCAGUCCAAUCCAGGUCAUCCUCUGCUGGCAAUCUAAACCAUUCAUCCAGGCCCUGUCAGAUAGUGAGGGGCCAAUUUAGUGAAGCUGCAUUCAUUUGUUGUCAUAAAUAUACUAAUUAGUUUUUCAGCCAAAACCAAAGACCCAUGAAAGUGUCAUAUUUAAGCAGUGAAACUGAGAAUUUAUGAUACCCAG
ensembl:lncRNA